AAUCCAUAGGUUAAUGAGGCGAACCGGGGGAACUGAAACAUCUAAGUACCCCGAGGAAAAGAAAUCAACCGAGAUUCCCCCAGUAGCGGCGAGCGAACGGGGAGGAGCCCAGAGCCUGAAUCAGCAUGUGUGUUAGUGGAAGCGUCUGGAAAGGCGCGCGAUACAGGGUGACAGCCCCGUACACAAAAGCGCAUGUGCUGUGAGCUCGAUGAGUAGGGCGGGACACGUGGUAUCCUGUCUGAAUAUGGGGGGACCAUCCUCCAAGGCUAAAUACUCCUGACUGACCGAUAGUGAACCAGUACCGUGAGGGAAAGGCGAAAAGAACCCCGGCGAGGGGAGUGAAAAAGAACCUGAAACCGUGUACGUACAAGCAGUGGGAGCCCCACCACCAAAGCAUUUGCUGUACCGCGUUGACGGAGCGAAGCGACGUCAAACCGAUAAAACAGCAGUGUAAAGUGAGCCGCAGGGCGCUUUGCGCGACAGCGCAAAGGCAGGCGGUUUCGCGUAGCGAAAGCGAAUGCUUUGGGGUGGGGUGACUGCGUACCUUUUGUAUAAUGGGUCAGCGACUUAUAUUCUGUAGCAAGGUUAACCGAAUAGGGGAGCCGGAGGGAAACCGAGUCUUAAUUGGGCGUUAAGUUGCAGGGUAUAGACCCGAAACCCGGUGAUCUAGCCAUGGGCAGGUUGAAGGUUGGGUAACACUAACUGGAGGACCGAACCGACUAAUGUUGAAAAAUUAGCGGAUGACCUGUGGCUGGGGGUGAAAGGCCAAUCAAACCGGGAGAUAGCUGGUUCUCCCCGAAAGCUAUUUAGGUAGCGCCUCGUGAAUUCAUCUCCGGGGGUAGAGCACUGUUUCGGCUAGGGGGCCAUCCCGGCUUACCAACCCGAUGCAAACUGCGAAUACCGGAGAAUGUUAUCACGGGAGACACACGGCGGGUGCUAACGUCCGUCGUGAAGAGGGAAACAACCCAGACCGCCAGCUAAGGUCCCAAAGUCAUGGUUAAGUGGGAAACGAUGUGGGAAGGCCCAGACAGCCAGGAUGUUGGCUUAGAAGCAGCCAUCAUUUAAAGAAAGCGUAAUAGCUCACUGGUCGAGUCGGCCUGCGCGGAAGAUGUAACGGGGCUAAACCAUGCACCGAAGCUGCGGCAGCGACACUGUGUGUUGUUGGGUAGGGGAGCGUUCUGUAAGCCUGUGAAGGUGUGUCGUGAGGCAUGCUGGAGGUAUCAGAAGUGCGAAUGCUGACAUAAGUAACGAUAAAGCGGGUGAAAAGCCCGCUCGCCGGAAGACCAAGGGUUCCUGUCCAACGUUAAUCGGGGCAGGGUGAGUCGACCCCUAAGGCGAGGCCGAAAGGCGUAGUCGAUGGGAAACGGGUUAAUAUUCCCGUACUUGGUGUUACUGCGAAGGGGGGACGGAGAAGGCUAUGUUGGCCGGGCGACGGUUGUCCCGGUUUAAGCGUGUAGGUGUGUGUUCCAGGUAAAUCCGGUUCACUUUAACACUGAGGCGUGACGACGAGGCACUACGGUGCUGAAGCAACAAAUGCCCUGCUUCCAGGAAAAGCCUCUAAGCAUCAGGUAACAUCAAAUCGUACCCCAAACCGACACAGGUGGUCAGGUAGAGAAUACCAAGGCGCUUGAGAGAACUCGGGUGAAGGAACUAGGCAAAAUGGUGCCGUAACUUCGGGAGAAGGCACGCUGACACGUAGGUGAAGUGAUUUACUCAUGGAGCUGAAGUCAGUCGAAGAUACCAGCUGGCUGCAACUGUUUAUUAAAAACACAGCACUGUGCAAACACGAAAGUGGACGUAUACGGUGUGACGCCUGCCCGGUGCCGGAAGGUUAAUUGAUGGGGUCAGCGCAAGCGAAGCUCCUGAUCGAAGCCCCGGUAAACGGCGGCCGUAACUAUAACGGUCCUAAGGUAGCGAAAUUCCUUGUCGGGUAAGUUCCGACCUGCACGAAUGGCGUAAUGAUGGCCAGGCUGUCUCCACCCGAGACUCAGUGAAAUUGAACUCGCUGUGAAGAUGCAGUGUACCCGCGGCAAGACGGAAAGACCCCGUGAACCUUUACUAUAGCUUGACACUGAACAUUGAGCCUUGAUGUGUAGGAUAGGUGGGAGGCUUUGAAGUGUGGACGCCAGUCUGCAUGGAGCCGACCUUGAAAUACCACCCUUUAAUGUUUGAUGUUCUAACGUGGACCCGUUACCCGGGUUGCGGACAGUGUCUGGUGGGUAGUUUGACUGGGGCGGUCUCCUCCUAAAGAGUAACGGAGGAGCACGAAGGUUGGCUAAUCCUGGUCGGACAUCAGGAGGUUAGUGCAAUGGCAUAAGCCAGCUUGACUGCGAGCGUGACGGCGCGAGCAGGUGCGAAAGCAGGUCAUAGUGAUCCGGUGGUUCUGAAUGGAAGGGCCAUCGCUCAACGGAUAAAAGGUACUCCGGGGAUAACAGGCUGAUACCGCCCAAGAGUUCAUAUCGACGGCGGUGUUUGGCACCUCGAUGUCGGCUCAUCACAUCCUGGGGCUGAAGUAGGUCCCAAGGGUAUGGCUGUUCGCCAUUUAAAGUGGUACGCGAGCUGGGUUUAGAACGUCGUGAGACAGUUCGGUCCCUAUCUGCCGUGGGCGCUGGAGAACUGAGGGGGGCUGCUCCUAGUACGAGAGGACCGGAGUGGACGCAUCACUGGUGUUCGGGUUGUCAUGCCAAUGGCACUGCCCGGUAGCUAAAUGCGGAAGAGAUAAGUGCUGAAAGCAUCUAAGCACGAAACUUGCCCCGA
rnacentral:rRNA from 2 species